CAGGGAGACAACAAAAUGUUUAAUAUUAUUUUGUCACCUUAGGUCGAUCGGUAUCUCACGUUUUUAAUUUAUUAAAAAUUUCAUUUCCUAAGUUUUUCUAGGUCACACCCAUUAUUUUUCCUGGGCCAUUAGCUCAGGUGGUUAGAGCGCACCCCUGAUAAGGGUGAGGUCCCUGGUUCAAGUCCAGGAUGGCCCAUAUCUCUAUGUUGGGGGUAUAGCUCAGUUGGUAGAGCGCCUGCUUUGCAAGCAGGAUGUCAGCGGUUCGAGUCCGCUUACCUCCACUGAUUACCACCUCUUCCAUAACAGGUAAAAAGGAAAUGUUUUGAGUAGUGAUCAAAUUCUGAAAGAAUCUAGCUUCCUAAUGAAAUCAUUAAGAUGCUGGACUCAUUGAAUUAAUUUCAUUGUUUUCAGAGAACCUUGACAACUGCAUAGAUUAUUUUUAAAGACAAUAAGCAUCUUUAAUGAUGCAGAUUUAUUAUUUGUGCGAAUGCAUUAAUAACAAUUCUAUUAAGCUGAUGCUUCAAUUUUUGAAGUUAUU
rnacentral:tRNA from 1 species